CUGACCACAGGCUUUGGUUUCAGGACAAUGCAGAUUGGGCAGCAGAUCAAACAGAGCCAGCACCAGCCCAUAGGACAGUCUCAAGGGGGUUAACUGUCCCUGUCCUCUACAAUUGUUGCUGGGGAGCAAUUUGCCCUUGAAUCCUCCAUACUGUCCCUAAAUUGACAAUUUCAUUUCCUUCCAAUCCCGCCCCCUGCCCUGAAGAUCUGCUGAAGCUGCGAGUUCCAUGUGAGAAGGCAGGAGGAUAAUAGCCAGCUCCUGUGUAAGGAAGUCAAGAUUUUCUCAAGGGAGAAAUCACCCUAGAAACCAUCAACUCAUGACAAACGUGAUUUCCAAGGUUCAUUUUGGAAAAUAGCCUCAAGGAUGAGAUGAUGAGGAUUUUGAAGAUGGGUCUUAAGAGAAAAGACUGAGGUCCCUUGAAGAUGAAGAAAUGAAUCCAAAGGCGGAUUCAAUUCUAGCUGUCUUUGGACUCAAGACUGCAACAUCAGCACUUCCCAGGGUCUCCAGCCUGUCCACCUCUCCCGCAAAAUUCAGAUUUGCCAGUAUCCAGAGUCGUGAGCAAUUCCUUAAACGAAGUGCAAAAAAUGAACAAAGAGGCCCGAUGAUGCAUCUGCUUAACUUUUCAGUUGUCAAAUGCAAAUUGAGCACAAAGAGGACAGAGCUGAUGACAUAUCAGGAACAUUUUUUAUUUCCAGAGCAGGUCUGAGUCUCAGAGGAAGACUGAGGCCGACUGAGCCAGAGGUACCACUUCAACAGGUCACUGGUCUCUGCAGAGGAAGGAAAAGGUGUAAGAGUUCUCCCUGCAUAGAUGCUAUUUGUGACUUGGAUGUUUUCUUUCUAACACAAAUGCAUCAAAGUGUUCACGGGAAUCUAGCUAUAUGCAAGAAGUCUGGAUUCUCUGCCUGAGAGAACUGGCCAGUAUCUCACCCGUGGGCACCAGAACCCAUUUCUAGAUUACUAAGAAACGAGCACAAGAAUACUGUGUAUGAGGCACUGUGUUCCUAGACCUUUCCAAGUUUUACUUAAUGCAGAUUAACUUCAUCAACCCUGGUGAAAAUGCCACCUCCUCUAGGAAGCCUUCCCCAUUUGUCCUGUCUCAGAGACAUUUGACUCCCUGGGCUUCUCUGCAGUUUUGUUCUGUGUAGGACUGCCUGUGCCUAGCCUUCCUGUGGUGUUCCUUGCUUAUGUCUUGUCUCCCCAUUGGAUUUGGAGGGUCCUGGGAAGGGACCACUGGGCUGGGCUAUAGUAGGUCCCCUGUAAAGACCUGUUGAGUAAUGAGAAGAGACAGUGGCCCCAUCUGGGUGAAUCGUGAAUUUAAUUAAUUCCCUGGAUCCCUGUUUAUCUUGCAAGUAGGAUAAGAAUGUCAUUGAAAUCCUAUGACGUAGUCAUGGAAGGGCUAAUAAAGUCAGUGUACUACUCCUGGUCACUAAGCAUACAGUUUAGCUCAGUGGUUUUUUGUUUUGUUUUGAUAACAAGACUGUCUAGAUGAAGGAAGCAAGGCAUUGUUUAAUAUUCUAAUGCAGGCUCCUUAUUUCACGACAUACUGGUAGUUACAC